AUCUACAUCAAUUUCAGAUUCAUAUGAUUUUAUUUGUACAAACCUGGAGUGAGAAAGAGGAAUCCAAUUCCAGUAACGCCGACUUCCAGCCCAAGCUAUGGCCAAUUUUCUAGGUCCAAUCAUGCAACUCUUGUUCCCGGGGAGAGACUUAGGCGGAGGAAGAGGUCCUUCUUGGAGGAGAAGAUCAAGGCCGAAGUUGACCUCAAAAUGAUGUCGGCGUAAUCGGAGGGAAGGAAGUGUUCCCAAACGACGUCGGAUUGGGCGGCGGAGUGGAGCCAGGUGGAGACGGCGGAGGAUCGGCUGGCGUCUUUGGGUGUAGUGAGGGAUAGUAUGAGACUGACGCAACUCUCCGGUAAGGUAUCAAGUUACUAUUUAUUGGAGAGGAAGCUGAAGCUGUGAUGGGAUGUGCUUACAUUGAGGAAGCAGGUCAAAGUCAAACCCACCGCUGACACUCGUCAAAUCUUAAGGUCUUUUUAAAUUAGUUUUAAAUUCAUGUUACAAUAUUUGGUACACCUAUGAACUUAGUUGGCUAGGCUUUUAAACACUUUAAGGUUAUGUUUGGUAGGAAGUAGUGAGCCUAGAAUUGAUGUGGAUAUAGAUGUGGAUGAUAGUUGUUCUUUUUUUUUUUUUUUUGAGAUAUUUGCGGCAUAAGUACUUAAUGUUUAGGAAAAAUAUUUGGUAUGAACUCAAUCUUUUUUUAGUGGGUGAAGUAUCCAAACAUCUUAAAAAUGUAAUUUUGUCUGUCCCGUUGAGCUUCGUUACAUAGUGACUAGACCAACACGUGUCACUCCGUGAUUAGUCCAGCUCAUAAAUAUUUUAAUUAAUUUUAAAAAUAAUUAAAAUAAUAUAAAAUUAAAAAUAAUUAAAUAACCGCCCAGACCUCAUCUCCUUCAUCCCAUCCACGUGCCUCACGUGGACGGCCUCCCUCUCGGUGCUGAAACCACUGCCGACAAAUAAUUUAUAUUUAAGAAUAAGAAGGGGAAAAUCUUGGAUAUCAAACUAGUCGGGGUUUUACACACCAGAGAAGUAGGACUAUACGACUGCCUUGCCCCAACUUCCAGAACAACUUACAUCUUCCAUGGCGGUCAUGAGGAAGGUGAAGAGAGGGAAUGGAACGUCGGCGGCGGUUUUGGCAGCGAGAGGGAGGUCGUCCACGUGAGGCACGUGGAUGGGGAUGAAGGAGAUGAGGUUUUUGUGGUUAUUUAAUUAUUUUUAAUUUUAUAUUAUUUUAAUUAUUUUUAAAAUUAAUUAAAAUAAUUUUUUUAAAAUAUUUAUGAGCUGGACCAAUCACGGAGUGACAUGUGUUGGUCUAUCACCAUGUAACGGAACUCAACUGACGGGGACAGACAGAAUUACAUUUUUAAGAUGUUUUGGUACUUUACCCACUAAAAAAAAAGAUUGGGUCUAUGCCGGACAUUUUUCUCAAACAUUGGGUACUUAUGCGACGAAUAUCCUUCUACUUUGUGUUGUUUGGUAUUAUAGGUGAAGUUGGAAUGAUGAAUAUUGUUUUGUAUUAGGGGUGAAGUUGAAAUGAUGAAAAUGAAAUUAAUGAUUAGAAUUA